rnacentral:lncRNA from 1 species
AGAAAUUAUUUAUUAAAUGCUUCAAGAAGACAAUCUUACUUCCUGCCUUGAAUAACUAUCCACAAGCUCUUUGAACAGAUUUGUGUACAUGCGAACGCCGAAUUCCCGUACUUUAUCUUCUUUGCAAGCCAGUAAGUACUCAGAAAUGGAAAGGAGGGUAGGAAGAUAAUCCUAGUAUAGAGCAUAAUAAGUCAACACAAAGAACUGCACAAAUAUAGCUUGCACAGGAAAUAGGAAUAUAAGGUUUUGCACUGCGAUGAAUACCAAAGUGUAAGCCAUACCCGAGUCAAAUCCGUAUUCCCAGAAACACAUUGAUCAAACAUAGUUUCCACAAUACAGC